rnacentral:lncRNA from 10 species
UGGAGGGGAAUCUGCCCCUGGUGCUGGCACUGGCUCAACAGCUGGCACUGGAAAUCGCUGUAUUUCUGCACCUGAAGCAGGAGCUGAAAAAGGAGAGAGGUCACCAAUACCACUCACUUUCCACUGGAAUUUCCAAACAUGAAAACAACCUCAUUGAAUUUAAAGGAAUUUCAGCCUGAAAACAUUGUCCCUGGAAAGACUUCCAGACUGCAGGUGACCUCAGCAUGUGCCUGUGUCUCAAUGAGCUCCAGAGGCUCCAGCUGGACAAGGACAAUGUGCAGAUGUGGCCCUGGUGGGAUCACUGGUGAGGCCUGGCCUGGUAGCUCCAUCUGGGGCCUGAUGUCUACCUGGUGACUCCUGUCCUGUGGUACCUGGGCGGGGGGCUUCUGCCAAAUGGCCAGAGGCAUCUGGGGUGAGGGAUGAGCCUACAAGGGCGUCAUCAGCAAAGAAAGGCUCUCAGUCCUGCCAUUCCUGAAGCAGGAGCCUUGAGAUGUGGGGAUGCAGCACAAGAACAUCUUGCUCUCUUGAGCGUCUCCCACCAAGUGAGCUGGCUAUGGGGCUAAUGCUAGGAUGUGGGUGCCCGGUUAUCGGGAUUCUUUUUUUUUUUUGAGACAUAGUCUCAUUCUGUUGGCCAGGCUGGAGUGCAGUGGCAUGAUCUCGGCUCACUGCAACAUCCACCUACUGGGUUCAAUCAAUUCUCCUGCCUCUGUCUCCUGAGUAGCUGGGAUUACAGGCAUGAGACACGCACCACCACACCUGGCUAGGUUUUUUGUGUUUGUUUGUUUUUUGUAUUUUUAGUAGACAUGUGGUUUUACCAUGUUGGUCAAGCUGGUCUCGAUCUCCUGAUUUCAUGAUCCUCCUGCCUUGGCCUCCCAAAGUGCUGGGAUUACAGGUGUGAGCCACCGUGCCUGGCCUGGUUACCAGAAUUCUAAGUUCUGUUAGGGUCUGUUGCCAAGGAAGUGAGGUCGCUUCUUUAAGUUUCCAUCCCCUCGGCCUCCUCCUUCCAGAAAACCUUCUCAGGACCCCAGUGGGCUGCUGACUGCUCACCCUCCCCACAGGUCAACUCCUUACCUGUACACAGUUAUGUCCACCCAGGGCCUGCUUGGACACCUGCACCUGAUGUUCACCAGAGACCUAGGAAUCCACUUGCAGCCUGGGAUCCUACAGGGGCCUAAUGUUACCCUGCAGAUUGGGUAGCCACCUGGGGACCAGGUAUCAACCUGGGGACUGUGGUUGACCUGCGGGCUAAUGUCCACCUGGGGACUGGUUACUCACCUGAGGCCUGAUGUGCACCUGGGGCCCGAUGUCCCCCUCAGGGUGAAUUCCACCUCAGGCCUGUAUGUCCACCUGGGGCCUGAUGUCUGCCUUAGGUCUAUGUCCCACUGGGACCUUAUGUUCACCAGGGACUGGUAUCCAGCUGUGGCCUGAUGACCUACUGCAUUCUGUUGCUCACCUAUGGGCUGGUGUCUACCUGGGGCUUGGUGAUCACCUGGGAGCUGGAUAUCAGCCUGGGGCCUGGGUGUCCACUUAAGGCCUGAUGUGUGCCUGGGGCCUGAUUGUCCACCUGGGGACUGGGUGUCCACCUUGGGUCUGAUGUCUACCUGAAGUUAUUUAUCUACCUAAGGCUUGGUGUCUACCUGUGGCCUGAUGUCCACAUGAGUCUGGGGUUCGGUUGGGGCCUGCUGUACAUCUGGGACCUUGGUGUCUAUCUGAGGCCAGAUGUCUACCUGGUGACUGCCAUCCUCUUGAGGCCUGAUAUCCACCUGGGAAUGGUUUAUCCAUGGAAACGGUUAUGUCCACCUGGAGCUGGAUGUCGCCCAGGAGCUAGAUGUCCACCUGUGGCCCCGUGUCCACCUAGGGCCUGAUGUCCACAAGUUGGCCUGGUAUUCAUCUGGGGCCUUCAUGCUAAUGUGGCUUAAUGUACUCCUGGGUUCUAGUGUCCUCUUGGGACCUGAUGUCUACCAGGAUCCUGGUAUCCACCUGGGGCCUGGUAUCCACCUAGGGCUUGAUAUUCACCUGGGGCCUAAGAAUCCACUUGAUAACUGGUGCUCAUCAGGGUCCUGAUGUUCACCUUGGGACCGGGUAACCACCUGAGGCCUGAUGUCUACUUAGGGCAUAAGUGUUUAUCUGGGGUCUAGUGUUCACAUGGGGCCUGAUGUCAACCUUGAGCCUAGGUAUUCAUCAGGGGACGAGUGUCCAGCUGGGGCCAGAUGUUCACUUGGGGUCUGGUGUCAACUUGAAGCAUGGUUGUCAACCUAGGACCUGAUGUCCAGUCCAGUGUCCACCUUGGGCCUGUUUUCUAACUGGGGCCUGUGUGUCCACAUAGACCCUGGUGUCAAUUUGGGGCCGGGGUAUUAACAAGGGGCCUGGAUAUUCAUUGGUACAUUAUGUCUACUGGGGUCUUUGUGUCAAUCUGAGCUCUGAUGUCCACCUAGAGAUUGGGUAUCCACCUAAGGCCUGGUGUUUACAUGGGGCCUGUAACACGAGGUUCCAGAUGAACUCGGAUGUCCACCUGAGGCCUCAUGUCCACCUGAGUUCUGAGUGUUCACAUAGGGCCUGCCAUCAACUUGGGACCUAAGUAUUUACCUAGGGCCUGGGUGUCCACCUGGGGCCUGACUUCCAACUAGCUCUUGUGUCAACAUGGGGCCUGAUGUCCACUUUGGGCCUAGGUAACUUCCUGAUGACUAAUGCACACAUGGCUCCUAAGGACCAUCUGAGGCCUGGUAUUAAUUUAGAGACUGGUAUCCACCUGGGGUCCAGGAAACUCUCAGGCCCCAGGUGCACAUAAAGCUCCAAGUGGCCACCUAGGCCACAGGUUGAUACACAGGGUCCAGGUGGACACUGGGUGCAAGAUGAACACCAGGCCCCUGGUGAACGCCAAGCCCCAGGUGUCUGCCUAGUCCUCAAGUGGACACCAGGCACUAGAUUGACACACAGUUACCAGGUGGAUAUCAGGCCGCAGAUGAACACCAGGCCCCAGGUGGGGUGGGUUACUUAUAGCAUAGGUGGCCAUCAGUUCCCAGGUCUAUAUCCACUCCCCACCUGAAAAUCAGGAUCCAGGUGAAUACCCAUGUCCUAG